rnacentral:RNase_P_RNA from 1 species
GGAGUUGAGUAGACGGUCGCGUAGCUAGUUCGCUAGAUAUGAGGAAAGUCCGGGCUCCACAGAGCGGGAUGCUGGAUAACGUCCAGGAGCGGUGACGCUAUGGAAAGUGCAACAGAAAGUAGACUACAGCGUGCAAGCGUUGUACCGGUGAAACGGUGCGGUAAAAGCGCACCAGUCCCGGUGGUGACAUCGGGAGCUAGGUAAACCCCAUCUGGAGCAAGACCAAAUAGGCGAAUAGGGUGCGCUCGCCUUGUUCGCGGGUAAGAUCGCAUGAGGUUGGCGGUAACGUCAAUCCUAGAUGAAUGAUCGUCAGCGUUGCUACCGUAAGGAACAGCGUACAGAACCCGGCUUAUUCUCAGCUCGACCG